rnacentral:rRNA from 1 species
UCCUACGGGAGGCAGCAGCAAGGAAUUUUCGUCAAUGGGCGCAAGCCUGAACGAGCAACGCCGCGUGGUGGAUGACGGCCUUCGGGUUGUAAACACCUUUUGGGGGGGAAGAGUUUGACGGUACCCCUUGAAUAAGGCUCGGCUAACUCUGUGCCAGCAGCCGCGGUAAGACAGAGGAGCCAAGCGUUGUCCGGAUUGACUGGGCGUAAAGCGCACGCAGGCGGGUGCGCGCGUGGGGUGUGAAACCUGGCCGCUUAACGGCCAGCGGCCAUCCCAUACGGCGUGCCUGGAGCCUUGCAGAGGGCGGUGGAAUUGCCGGUGUAGUGGUGAAAUGCGUAGAGAUCGGCAGGAACACCCAGGGGGAAACCAGCCGCCUGGGCAAGCGCUGACGCUGAGGUGCGAGAGCGUGGGGAGCGAACCGGAUUAGAUACCCGGGUAGUCCACGCGGUAAACGAUGGCCACUCGGCCUCUGCGAGCGGAUCUUCCGCUGGUGGGGGCCUCAGCUAACGCGGUAAGUGGCCCGCCUGGGAACUACGAGCGCAAGCUUAAAACUCAAAGGAAUUGACGGA